GGACCCGCACAAGCAGCGGAGCAUGUGGUUUAAUUCGAAGCAACGCGAAGAACCUUACCAAGGCUUGACAUCCUCUGACAGGUGUGGAAACACACUCUUCCUUCGGGACAGAGAGACAGGUGGUGCAUGGUUGUCGUCAGCUCGUGUCGUGAGAUGUUCGGUUAAGUCCGGCAACGAGCGCAACCCCUAUAAACAGUUGCCAAUAUUAAGUUAGGGACUCUGUUUAGACUGCCGUGGGUCAACACGGAGGAAGGUGGGGAUGACGUCAAAUCAUCAUGCCCCUUACGCCUUGGGCUACACACGUGCUACAAUGGGCGCUACAAAGAGCAGCAAGCCGGUAACGGUAAGCGAAUCUCAUAAAGGCGCUCUCAGUUCAGAUUGUGGGCUGCAACCCGCCCACAUGAAGAAGGAGUUGCUAGUAAUCCCGAAUCAGAAUGUCGGGGUGAAUGCGUUCCCGGGUCUU
rnacentral:rRNA from 1 species